UACGUAGGGUCCGAGCGUUGUCCGGAAUUACUGGGCGUAAAGAGCUCGUAGGUGGUUUGUCGCGUUGUUCGUGAAAACUCACAGCUCAACUGUGGGCGUGCGGGCGAUACGGGCAGACUGGAGUACUGCAGGGGAGACUGGAAUUCCUGGUGUAGCGGUGGAAUGCGCAGAUAUCAGGAGGAACACCGGUGGCGAAGGCGGGUCUCUGGGCAGUAACUGACGCUGAUGCACGAAAGCUAGGGGAGCAAACAGG
rnacentral:rRNA from 1 species